AGCGCUUAUUAUGCGAGGUGGAGU
rnacentral:snRNA from 1 species